ensembl:lncRNA
GCGAAAACGAAAGUGCUGGAAGGGUCACGGGCUUCCCAGAGUCCUGGCCCAUUAACAGCUGAAGGCCCAGGCCAGGGUCCCCUGCAUCUGAUAAGCCCAAGCUGGCCUCGGCCUGCCUGGACUGCCGGAGAGCCCGGGGUCUUCUGGGAGAGCCCCAACCCGGGCAGGGGAGUGCAGGCAAGCAAACCGAGCUGGUGACUGCCGGAGUUCACAUACAUUUAUUCAAUUGACACCAACGAGGAGUGGGGGGAGACAUUUUUCUUUUCUUCCACACAAACCAUCAGACGAUUUCGGAGUCUCCCCACAGUAGAGAAGUCUAAAUCAAUGCACACCCAGUGGACAGAGAACGCAGAUAGCAGCCCGCUGUACAGAUAUUUACAAAUAAUUACAGGACCCCCUGCCACAGGAUGUGCCCUCACCCACCCCACCCCCACCUCUCCAGCCCCUGACCCAGACCUCCUCUCCCACCCAAACCUCAUUGCUUUUAGCUACAAUAAAUAUCCCAGGGCCUGGGACAGAGCAGAGCACUAAGAGGACUGCUGGCCCUGGGUGGCUGGACCCAGCCGGCCACGGGAAAGGGGAAAAGUUCCUUCAAAAGCACCCCAACACAAAAGAGGGAGGAUGUUUCUCGGCGGGGUGGGACUCCGCAUGGAUUGUGGAGACCCCUCGCUUCACCUCUUCGUUCAGCUUCGCCUGUGUAGACACUCCUUUAUAGGCUUCAGAGAGAAGGAACCUCCUUGGAGAACAGCAAGGAAAAAAAGUUGAAUUCUUCUUUUGAGCACAAAGCGGAUAAUAGAUGUCUUUAAAUUAUAAUAUUGGACAAGCAGGGCCUCAAAGCCGAGGAAGGAGUGAGCGGGAUGCAGAAAGAGAGACCCCUCUGCGCAGUUGGUGCUUCUGGCGGGACCCGCGGGGCCUGGGCAGGCUUCUCUCCAGGACAGCAAUUCUUCCGGGGCUGCCGGGAGAAAGCGAAGACUCCCCCCGCCCCCGUUAUACUGCUCAAAUUGGAACCGGAUCGUGGCUUGCGAACUCGUCGCGUAGACCCGGGCCUCUCCCUGAGCGAUGGAGCCCGCUUCGUCCCAACUGUCGGCGAGAUUCUGAGCGUGGAGCCUGAAGUGCCAAGUCACGCGCGCCGGCCCAAGGUCUGGCGACUCUUCAUAAAUAGACUCCCUGAGUUCCUCUGGGACCGCAGGAGCUCCCGGGAGAGGCUUAGGAGUGCGGGCCUAACUGGCCCUGAGCCGACGCGGUCAGAAGUGGCAGCCACUGAGACCGGCGACUUUGCCGGCAAACGGAGGCCCUGAGGACAGGAGCGCGUCCCCGGGGUGCGAGAGGCGGAUGUGGCCGGCCACUGGAGCCAGGGCUGGGGCAGUCAGCAUGGCCAAGACCUGGGCUUGACCGCCAGGACCCGCCGCCGCCGCGAACGGCGAUCCCGGGGAGCCCUCGCCUCCGCCCGGGGGUGCUGCCCCGCCGCCGCCGUGGCCCAUGAUGUGGUCUAUGGAGAAGGAAGGCCUCUGGCCGGCCCCGGCGCCCCCGCCGCCCGCACCACCGCCCGCGUCCGUCUUGAGGCCCUGGCGCAGGAGUGCGGUGGACAGACCAGCCGCGGUGCCGGCUGCGGGAGGGCUCAGCGACGCGGGGUAGAAGGCUUUGGCGCAGCCCAGCUCCGCGCCCAGGAAGGCGGGCAGGCCUGCGGGGCCCGGGCCCGACCCUGUGCCCGGGGCAGGCGCAGGGGCCGGAGCCGAGGCUGCGCCUGCGAACACCGAGGCCGUCGGAGGUCCGGGUGGAGGCGCGGCGGCACGGCCUGGGGGUACCGACAGCUGGCAAGGAGCGGCGGCGGCGGCGAAAGCGAAGGCGUGCGGGUGUGGAUGCGGAUGCGGGGCCGGGCCCGGCGGCGGUGCGCCGUAGGCCGGGAGAGCCAACCCGUAGCCAUAGCCGUAGGCUCCGUAAGCGGCGAAACCCGGCAGAAAGGCGCCGGGGUCCCCCGCCGCCGCAGCCCCGCCACGCAGCAGCAGCUCCGGGUGAGGGUGCGUGUGUGGAUGCGGCGGCGGCAGCGGCUGCCGCUUGAAGCGCUUACGGCGCCGCAGGAAGCUGCCGUUGUCGAACAUGUCGGCCGACUCCGGGUCCAGCGUCCAGUAGUUGCCCUUGCCCGGGUUGCCCGGCUCGCGGGGAAUCUUGACGAAGCAGUCGUUGAGCGAGAGGUUGUGGCGGAUGCUGUUCUGCCAGGCGGGGAACUUCUCCCGGUAGUAGGGGAAGCGGCCGCUGAUGAACUCGCAGAUUUCACUCAGCGUCAGGCGCUUCUUGGGGCUCUGCAGGAUGGCCAUGGUGAUGAGCGCGAUGUACGAGUAGGGAGGCUUCACCAGCGGGCUCCGCGUCGCCGCGCCCCCCGACGGCGGUCCCGGCCCGGGGGCCCCGCCGCGCCCCGGGCCGCCGCCGCGCCUGGCCGGGGCUUCCCGCUGCGGCCGCCGCCCCCCGGGGCGCUAGAGCGCGGGGCUCGCCGUCCGAGCAGCCGCCCGACUCCUCGUCCUCAGCUGCGUCCGCCUCGGCUUCCUCCGAGGGAGGCUCGGGGCCGUGCGGGAGCACGUCCCGGGGGGCGCGGGGCCCGGAGCGGGCAGGGAGCUCCCCCCCACCGCUGCCGCCGCCGCCGCCGCCGCCCACUACGUCUAUGUCUGCGUCGGCCUCGGACAGCGCGGCCGGGGAGCUCUCGGAGGACAUGAUCUCGCAGCAGCAGCUGCCCAGGGUCAUGGUGCCGCCGCCGCCGCCGCUCUCCGGCUCCGCUCCGGCCGCGGCUCGGGCUCCGCCGCGCUGCCUCUGGGGCGAGUGUGUUUUGCGCGCGGGCGGGGAGGGGGCGGGGGACUGAGGCGGACAGGGAGGGGUGUCCCCCAGCUUCGCAGCGCCCCCUCGUGGCCCGACUCGGCCGCUCUCACCUCUCGGGGAGUACCCGACCCGCGGCUCUCUCCGCUGCCCCGGGAGCCCGAGCGGGGGCCUGCACGCCGGGGCGCGGGCGGAAGGAGCUGAGGCCUCCCCUCACCCUGGCCGGUCUCGGCCCCAGUCCCCCCGGGGCGGGGGGGGGUCCGGGUAUUAGUCCCUCCCGCCCAGCGGCUGCCCAAGGCGGAAGAGCGCGAGCCCGGGGCGGAGCUCCCUCAGCGGGGUGGGGCGGGGCGGGAGGGGGCGGGCGGAGUGUCUCCGCGGAGGGGCCCGGCGGGAACAAACAGCCGCCGCGGCGGGAGCUCGGCUCCGGUGCCGGAGGCGAGUCCUCCUCUUCCCCGCAGAUCCCGCAAACCUUUCGCUCCCUGGAGCCGCUGCCUUCAGUGCGUUCGGCCCCUGGAUGUUAAGGUUCACGCGGGUGCCAGCGGGAGCCGGGAGAAGGAGCGACAGCGCCCACCCAUCGUCGCCCCAAGGCAGAGACAGCGCCCGGGCCACCAAGGCCGAAGCGCAGUCGGAGCUGGAGCGGGAGCCUGAGACGCCCAGACCAGCGCCGCCCGAGGAGAGCGGGGCCCGCCGCCGCCCGAGCGGCUUCCGGCCCAAGGGGAGACGCACUUGAGUGAUCGCGAGGAGCGAACUUGGCACUCUCAGCCUCGGGCCUCGGAGAGGCUCUACAGACGGACAGCAAGGACCCCCACGGAGACCUCCAGUGAACCCUGACCUUAGCCCCGGGCCAGUGUUGCCUCCAUCUCUCAGCAUCCUGUGCUCACAAGCCUCAGUUUCCCGCUGUGCAUAGUAGUUAAGAGCAAGGAUCCUGGAAUCAGGCUACUGCAUCCUGGCUUCACUACUCACCAGCUCUGUCACCUUGGAUAAACUCUUCAUGCCUGUUGCUUUCUCUCUAAAGUUGAGAUUAAAAACACCUACCUCUUGAUUAAUAUGUAAAAGUAGCCCUCACAUUCGCCUACUUAUGAGAGGGUAUGGAGAGCACAUUGCAGACUCUUGGGCAGAGAGAAAGUGGUUGGGGGUGGUGUAGUCUCCCACCUGGAUCUCCAGGCCUGGUCUAGCUCCCCACUGGGUUACCGCUGCCACCUGAUCGUCCUCAGUCACUGUGCUGAAUUAGAUCCCCUGUAGAUAAGCGCUGGGAGCAGGGGGGAGGGAAUUUGCAGCCCCUGCAGGCGCUCUCCCAGCAGGGCUGGUGUGCGUGUGGAUGAAUCCUCCCUUUUAUCCAACAGCAACCUCCAGUCUAUGGAAUAAUCUGGUGUAAAUCGAACUCCCUCAUUCCACAGGUGGGUCAAGAGAGGCCCAGAGAGGGGAAGGGGCUCACCUAGGCUCCUGCGACAAGAUAGAGCAGGGCCGGGGACAACCCUUGUCACAGAAUCCUCAUGACAGAGUUCUCUAUCCUCCCAAGCCAGAAGAGGAUGGAAGGCAGGUCUGGCUGCUCAUGUCCUGUGAGAGCAAGUCCUCUGGGCUGCUCUCUGGGGCCUCAGACCGAGGGGAUCUAUCUAAUGUGCUGGGUCUGGAUAAACACACUGUUCUUGGGAAAAAGAGAAGAGGUCCAGUGCUCAAACCAUGGACAGGCAAUUGGGCAGGGACUAGUGGCCUGGAAUCAGAAUUUCUUAGGUGAUAGGGCUCUCCAGAAAAAAGGGGCCUUGGAGAACAGUUUCUUGCAUGAAUCCAGAUAAACUUACAUGCCUAGGGCUGCUAGAUUUGGCAGAUUUAUUUUAUUUGCCAACCCUACACUUACCCCAGGCUUGCUCAUUGCUACAUGGAGAUCUCUCUCCCACUCAUAGACACCCCACACUACCACCCACCAGCUCCAACUAGCCCAGCUCUACUAGUGUCUAAGGAAAUGGAGAGAAAAGCAGCAUUGGCAUCAUGUGACUCCUUCUCAACUGGUGAAUGUCUUCAUUUCUAAAAUGGCAAAUGUGAACACGUGGCUUCCUUCCUUGCAGUGCUCUCCUGGUCCCCCAGGUCGCAGCCCCCUGCCCAGCUUCAGGGUUAGACUGGCUGAGGCAUUUGCUGCCCAGAUACUCUGGUUCUAACACGCCAGGCAAGACGCUCUACUGAGCACCAGCGGCUGCCAGCCCUUGCCUCUGCCUGGCCCUGCUGCACACUGGCUGCGGCUGAGACCUAGGUCGGGGAAAGGGGAUACAGGCCUCUCAGCUCCUGUUCUGAAAGGUGAGGGUGGGACACGAUCUCAAGGAAUCAUGCAGACUCUUCAAACACACACUUUUACAGUGUGUAACUGUAGGCUCGAGAGAUCAUGUGACUUGCUGGGCUUUUGAAGGGCCCCGGUUGGGCUGGACCCAGGUGUGGAGACUCCUGGCCCAGAGCUCCUCUAGUUAUCCCAAUAACUCUGCUUGGCCCCUGGCGGAGCUGCACGCUUGCCUGGAAGAGGUAUUUCUGGGAGCCUGUCAUCCCUCCCGAGGUUCUGGGCCACCUUGUUUUGAACAAUUCCAGGCGUAGGUGCACUGGGGGCUGGGAGAGGGGCAUUCGGGAUUCCUUCAGUUUUCCUGUCCUUCUCUCGUGUGGGCUUCUCCCACCUGCCGGCUCAGCCUCUUCGACGUCUUCGAGCCGCCGUCUGCGACCCCGCCUGGGUCUGUCACUCCCCUCCGCGAACACCUGGGCGCCUUCCCAGCAGCCUGGGCUGCAGCCUCUACGAAGUACGAGUGACGGGCUCUGUGGGUCUUGGUUACAAUGUCAGUUCGUGCCCCGCCUCUUCCUUCGUCUGCCUCGCUAUUUGGCCACCUCCUUCGAGCAGCCCAGAAACAAUUGGGAGGAGGCACUUGGCGGGGGGAGAGCGCCUGUUCCGGGGAUUUUCCACUCCAAAAUGUUCGGAUAAUCGGGGAGCCGUCGUUGCGUGUUUUGCGAUGUGUUGAUCUCAGUGGUGUGCCUCCGCUUAUGGCCCCUCCCUUGCCUUCUUAUGGUCCCUGUUCAUGCUGUUUUCCUCGCCUCGGGGCAGUGAGAGCUCUCAGAUGAUUAUGAGAAUAUUAUUAAGUCAGUUGCGAAACUGGCGAAGAGCGGAGCUGAGCUAGCGGCGGGGAUGCUGCGCGGACGAUCGCGCGCGGCCUUCCCAGGGUUCGAGUUCUUCCACGCGGCGGUCCGCUCCGCGCAGCCCGGUGGCAAAGCGCGGCCUGAGCUGGGCAAGGGGACCCCGCGCCUGCACACUUCUCUGAUUUUCUUCACAAACCUGGCCAGCCACGGGACAAGCGCGAAACCGGCGUGGCCGCCGCCCCUUCCCACCCUUCCACGGGCCGCAGCUCUGGAGUGAGCGAGACGGUUGCUUGGCCGCGGCUGAUACAUCUCCUGACCCCUCUCUCCACCCAGAUCUUCGCCUGCUCAAGAGCGAUUGGCUCCCUCGGCCCGGGUGGGAGAUGGGAGACUCGAGAUCUUGUGACCUGCAGGGGCAGACCUCAGGCGGCGGGGCUCCCCACCCACAGAAGCCGGACUCCCGGUUAGAGUUCAGGGAGAGGCCCGACCCUCUGCAAGCACCGAAUGACAGGGCCUCCAGCUUGUGCGCCUUCACUCCCGCAGACCACCUGUGAAGCCCAGGCGCCGGCUCAGGUUCGGGCGCCUCUGCAGUACCCGCCACACCUGUGUAUCCUCCGCUUCUCGGAGGAAAUGUCCAUCUUUCUGUCCUUCCAUUACGCCUGGCCACGGUCUCCUCCCAGCUCCCCCUCCCCCAGGGCUACGUGGUGGGAGGCUCGAGCACGGCGUGGCGAUUGGGACCCGGGCCAGCUGCGGAGCCUGUCGGCUCUCUUUCGUGGGAAGAGGGUUCCGGGCUCAGGAAAGGGUGAAAACAGCGCAGCUCCUAAACCCCGGACCUAGGGCGCCGGCUUCGCAGCGACACGCCUGGGAGAUGUGCAGCCAGGGGCAGGGGAAUGAGGGACGUUUCCAAGUGUCUGGAGCGAGCGUGAGCCUCAGAUCUGUGCCCCUACUGUCUGAGUGCAUCCUGGGUUCAGGGCCCAAGGGCCUGUUUCUCCGUCCGCAUGUGUGUGUGUGCCCCUCCUGGUGAUGGUGGCUCUGUGUGUCUGAGUACGUCCCUGAGCCUGAGUGCCUGUCCUGAGUCCCCCCUCCCGAUCGCCCGAUCUGUGCUGGGGACUGCCCUGGAAGGCUCGCCAGCUAGGCCCACCGCUCUACCCAGAGCAUGAAGCGGCGCGACCUGGACGGGGACUCAAACCCACUCCGGGCCGCAGCGUGACCCCGGCAGGGAAGGAGGAUGUGUGACGGUGCGAGCCUGGGUAGAGGUCUGGGACUAUGGCGGGGAGAGGGAGGAGAGCGCACAGGGACCGGGCAGAGGAGAGCUGGGACGACCAGCGGCGGCCUCCUUCCCACCAAUUACACGCCGCCUGCUGGAGCAGCAAUACCUCGGGCACCGGACGCCCUUCCGCAGCCCAGAAUUGGGGCGGGGUAGGAGAAAAGAGGGGGCAUAGCCAUCCAAACCAGGUCCCCCUACGCACCAUACACACACACACACACACACACACACGUGUACACACACACCAUCGCGUUUAGGCUUUCGGAGCCCCAGGCAGGGUAACCGGCGAGGCCGUAAGCCCCGCUUGCGCGAGGAAUAUUGCCGGGUGCCUGAGCCUUCCAGAGCCUCUGCGGAGCCGCGUAAGCCCCACAGAAACAGCAAGAGGACGAGCCAGAGUUCUGCCUUGCCGUGCAGACGCUGGGACAGAUUCCUGGGGAACAGCGACCUCUGGAGGAGCCGCUUAUCCACGCAAAGAAUCAGAACUAGACGACCAGGUCUGGAACCAACGCUCCCUUUCCCCACCGCACCCUUUUGGCAAAGUCAUCCAAAGACUCCUAACCUCCGGACUCCUCUUUGCACAUGCUUGCUCUUUUCCUAACCUGUACCCAUGCUUCAAAUCCUUGCUCAAGUCCCUCCUUCUCCAGAAAGAAGCCUGGAGAGCCCAACCCAUCUUCCCCUCUUCCUUUCUGAGCUCCCCAGAACCCACAGCUUGAACCCUCCACUCGAGCACUCCCACACUGCCCUGCACAGCCGACCUGCUUCCUGCCUCGCCCUUCUCCAAAGAGACCGUUAAUCCAUCCACUCCACCCACCCUUCUACAUUGCAUGCUGGGUGUGCUGUUUUUCUUUCCCUCUGGUAAAUAAAGACUGAAGUCAUUUAUCCCAAAAGUGGACUGUAGGUUUUCAAAGCUAGUCUCUCAGAUGGGAAAAUUGAGACCCAGAGAAGGGCUGACUUGUCCACGGUCACCACACAGCAAAUGGGUAGCAGAGGUGGAACUAGAUCCCCAGUCUCUCAUUUCCCGGGGUCCUCCCCAUUUCACGGGUAUGGGAGCAGGUAAUGUGGGGGAGGACUCAUUUUUGAGGGGCAAGGCCUGGUUGGGGGAUUUUUGGCAUAGGAGAGGGGAAAGGCAGGAGGGAACUAGGGGAGGGGGCACUGCUCUGGAUGGGUCAGUACAGAAGGAAGGGGGGCAGGAAGCAAGGAAGGGGGGGCUGACAAAGGUGCCCUGGAAGGGCAGACCCUUCCUGCCCCAGCCCCAGCCCAGAUCAAGCUACUUUGAAGGGCUCCAAAUUUCAGGCAUUGGCUGAGUGUCUUACAUCAGCAAGUGGGUCAGGUGGAGGCUGGGAAGAGACUCAAUCCAGGCAAAUACCACCCUUCUCUCUGCCCUGGGCAGUGACAGAGGGGCUGAGAAACCUCUGCUGCUAAUACACACCCAGAGGGCGCUACUGAGACUCCAGCUCAACAGGAGGAGGCCUCCUGGCGCUGUAAUUAUAAAGUUAAAGGAGAAGCUGGGAGGGUGGUUUGCAUGUAAUUUGCAUGAGGCCCCAGUGGUACCUGCCUGGCUGCCUAAGGCCUUCUCAGAGAUGCAUUGCUUUCUGGACAUCAUGUGCUUGUCUGCCCUGGCUACUGGAAGCCUGCCCCACACCCCCAUCUUCGCUUGUCCAGUCUCACCUCCAACCCCUGCACUCCACUUGCACCUGAUUUGCUCUUUCUCACCUCUUCACCUUGGCAUGUGGCUCACUCCUCCCUGGGUCACUGCUAAUCUUCCGUCCAUUCCAAAUGUCAAGCUUUAUGAGAUGCUUCCCCCAUGACAACACCCCACAUUGGCCAGGCUGUGAAGGGCUCCUGCCUCUGUGCUCCUAAAGUACUUAGCUCCCUCUGUUGUCAUGACUUGUUUUCCAGUCUUUGGCCCUCUGUAGACUGUGAGCUCCUUGAGAACAGGCAUUAUGUUGUCUUCAUCCUCAUCUUUCCUCCUCUACCUGGUGGGGAUAAUGUACCUAUCUCAAUGAGUUGUUGUGGGAUUAAAUGAGAUAUUGCAUAAAAAGCACUUAGCCCAGUGCCUGAAAUUUUGAAAGAGCUCAGUAAAUGUUUCUAAUUAGCAUCAUCAUUGUUAAUCACUCUACCUCCUGCUGGGCACAAAACCCAACACACAUAGGUACCCCAUUAAUGUUAGAUAUGUGGAUACGUGAACAAAUGACUGAGUGAGUGAGUGGUGUGGCAUAUCUCUCCCUCUUGUCUGGAACUCCCCAGAAAGCUAGUUUACAUCAUCAAUACAAAUAAUUGUUCUCCAAGGACAGACAUCGUUUCUCCCCCAUCAGUUUCUCCCCAUCAGGAGAACAUGUCCCGCAUCAGAGAGGGUUUUCCAUGGCCCCUGACCCCAGCAGUCACUGGAUUUCUCUGUUGAGCUCUUUGCCUCCGUUUCCUUCUUUUAAAAUGGUUACAACCAGCCAAACCCUGCCAAAAUCUUCCAGGGGCUCCCCACUGCUUCUAAGACAAAAUUCAGUUUCCUUAGUCUGGUAAGCUGAACAGGUUUACAGUUUUGGGUGUCCCACCUCUCCAUUGGCUAAGACCUCCCCUCCCAUAUUCCCUGUGGUCUUGAUGGGACUGUCCGAUCUCUGUCCUCCUCACCCUUACCUCCGGGAGCAGACAGGCCACCUGGCUGGAUCAAACAUGGCAGUGAAGUCAAGGGCCUAGUGAUUGGUCUAGGCAGGAGUAAGCCACCUAAACCAAGCCAAUGGCUGCUUUUACAAGAUUUGAUAUAUGGACUCUGGGGCUCCAGGACAUAUGGACUCUGGGACUUCGGGAGUGGUGCCUCUCCUUUCGAAUUGAAAGAUAAACACUAUCCUUCCUGCUAUGUGGAGAGCGCUGUGUGACAUGGAAGCCCAUACACAAAGGGAAACAGCCUAAAGAGAGAAAUAGAGCUUAGUAACAGUGUUAGUCCCCCAAAUCUGCCUGAAGUUAGAACACUUAGACUUUCCAGACAUUCUAAAAAUAUUCCCCCUUUUGCUUAACCUAGGAUUGCAUUGAAUUUCUGCUAGUUUGAGUCGAAUGUCACAAACAGCAGAACCACAAGAGAGAAGGAUCUUGGGUCCCUGAGACCACUGAGGUGCCCUGCCACCCUGAACUGCCAGCACAGACUUUUAUGUGAAAAGGAAAUAAACGUCAAUCUUGGUUAAGCCAUUGUUGCGGAAUUUUCUCAGGGGGUGGGGUUGAGUCUGUUACUCACAACUGAACUUAAACUUAAUUAAUACAGGAAGGGAUGGGAAAUUCCAAUAGGGCUGUUGCUCAGAGAUACUAUUUUGAUAGUAGUGAGCUCCCCAUCAUGGAAAUGCAUGAGCAGAGGCUGGGUAAUCACUGGGCAGGAAUCUUAGAGGCAGCCAGGUGCAGCAGAAAGAGUACAGGUCUUAGGGCUGGGUUCACAUUUUGCUCCGACCACUUAAUAGUUUCAGACAAAUAAUCUCUCCAAGCCUCAGUUUCCUCAUUUGUAAAGUAUCUAGACAGCUGGGUUGGAUAUGGAGACCAAGGAGAUUUCCUAGGCUGCCACCUUGCAGGGACUCCUGAGACCUAGUACUCUAGUUGGAGCCAACUAUGGGUCAGGAGCCCUCAGUGAGUUUCUUGCUCCCCUCUCCAGCCUUGACAUUUUGGAGGAUGCCUGCUCCAACUUGCCAGGAGAAUGCACCUCCUCCUCUGUUCAUGCAACUGGAUGGCGAGGAGCAGUGGGGCCUGAGUGGAGAGGCCUGGGAUCUACCCCCAGUCCUGCCCCUGCCGUCCUGUGUAACCUCAAACAUGCGUCUGCCCUUCCCAGGUCCCCAGUUUCCUCAUCUGACAUGUGAGAAAUGCAGCCCCUGUCCUGGACAGCCUGCCUCCAGAGUCAGGUCUCAUAACCACUGUGCCCUCCCUACGGUUCCAAAUGUGAGCAAUUGCCAUUCACGGCAAUAAUCAUCAUCAUGUUUCUGCAUGGCCUUGCCCUGCCCAGGCUCCUGCUCAUCCUGGCCUAGGUCAGCCCCAAAUGGCAACAUCUGCUACAGGAGCUGACAUCACAGGUCUGGGCCAGCCCCCAGGUUCCCAGGCAGCUGAGGGCCUUGUUUCCAGCCAUGGAGUGUGGCUGCCCCUUAGCCACAUGCGUCCCUCUCACAGGGGGCUCUGCUUGAUCUGCCCUCACCCACUUCCUCCCACAAAGCUGAGGCCACUCAGCUUUGAGGGGUUAGAGGCAAUGAAAUGGGAAAUCUGAGGCCAGAGAGGAGCAGAUUUUAAGACAUGAUUGUAUGAUCAGAAGAAGGGAGUCACAGUUGAGGUCCCAGCUGGGGAGGGCGGGGCAGGGGAGAUGACAGCAUUCAACAGGAAGCCUAGAGGCCCAGAGGUCCAAAGAGCCCGAAGGUCCCGACACCUGCCCCUGAUGCCCAGGAUUUGGGGGCUAGAAGGGAGAAGGAGCAUCACCCUGGACAGACUGACAGCCAGGGCGCAGACCCCACCCAGGGUGGAGGUGCUAAGUGCCCAGACUUCCCAGAUCCAGAGGCCAAAACAUCUGGUAAGGGGCCCUGGAGAGAGACUUUGAUGGGAAGGCCACUGGGGAGGAGGGCAAAGAGGUUUGAGAAGAUGAAAUUCUGACCACGGUCACCAACUGUCCCUUUGAGAAAUAAAAGAGGACAGCUGCCGAAAGAGCCUGUGUGACCACACAGGGAGCUUGGUGUCCUGACAAGGGCUGAGUGGAAAUGCACUUCUAGGAAUUUCUCCUUCAUGUAUACCUACACAGGUGAUGUAUGCCCAAGGUGUCACUGCCGCUGGCUUUGGAAUGACAAAGGGUAUGAAAUAACGUACAUGUCCACGAUUAGGGGGUUGAUUACACAAAUAAUGGCCCAUCCAUAUAAGGGAAUAGUAUGCUGUGUAAACUAGAAUAAAGAAGUUCUAUAUAUAUUGAUCUGGAAAGAGCUCCAAGAUAUGUUGUUGAGUGAAAAAAAUCAAGAUACCUAACAACAUAAACAUUAUGCUUCCAACUGUGGUUUGUUUUUUUUUUUUUUAGGAAGAUUAGCCCUGAGCUAACUACUGCCAAUCUGCCUCUUUUUGCUGAGGAAGACUGGCCCUGAGCUAACAUCCGUGCCCAUCUUCCUAUACUUUAUACGUGGGACGCCUACCACAGCAUGGCUUGCCAAGCAGUGUCAUGUCUGCGCCUGGGAUCCGAACCGGCGAACCCCAGGCCACUGACGCAGAACAUUCGCACUUAACUGCUGCACCACCGGGCCAGCCCUCCACUGUGUUUUUUUAAGGGGGAAAAUAAUGUAUAUUUGUUUUGGUUUGUAUAUGCAACAAAAAUAUGUAGGAGGAUGAAUAAAAACUGAACAACUGAUUAUCUGUUGAGGCAAAUGGGGAACAAAAAUGGAGGUGAGACUUUUCACUGAAUACUUUUUUUAUAUGGAAUCAUUCCAAUAAAUAAGGCUGAGUGUGCAGAACUGAAGAGUAAUGAAGGCCAUUACUACAUGCUGGGCACUUCCUAUGGGCUCCAACAUGAACUGUGGUUGGUGGCUGUAGUUUUGAAGGUGGGACGUGAAAGCAAGACUUACUGGGUGCCUCUGAGCAUUGGCCUGCCACCCGUCAGGCAGGGAGGUAGGUGGGUCUGGUAGCUAGGACCCCAGACUUUCUACCUUGCCCACCUUCUCUUCUGUCCCCAUCCUUCUGUCUUUGCCUCCUCUCUUGGUCCCACCGAAAUUGCUCUGGAAGUAGUCAGACUUUUUCAGUUUGACAAGCUAGACAAGGAUUAGGAUGGAGGAAAGGGUUUUAUAGAAACUAAAAUAGCAGGCUCUCCCCUCCCUUCCUUGAAAACCCCAAACCAGAGCUCACCUCCUCCAGGAAGCCUUCCUUGUGAGGCCCACCAAGCCCCAACCCCUCCACAUUGCAGGGAGAUGGUCUGAUGCCCAAGGUGGGGCCUGCGUCCUC